rnacentral:rRNA from 1 species
GUGCCAGCCGCCGCGGUAAUACCAGCCCCGCGAGUGGUUGGGACGUUUACUAGGCCUAAAGCGCCUGUAGCCGGCCCUGUAAGUCCCUCCCUAAAGGCCCGGGCUCAACCCGGGAACCGGGAGGGAUACUGCAGGGCUAGGGGGCGGGAGAGGCGGGGGGUACUCCCGGAGUAGGGGCGAAAUCCGUAGAUCCCGGGAGGACCACCAGUGGCGAAGGCGCCCCGCUAGAACGCGCCCGACGGUGAGAGGCGAAAGCCGGGGCAGCAAACGGGAUUAGAUACCCCGGUAGUCCCGGCUGUAAACGAUGCGGGCUAGGUGUCGCGUGGGCUUAGAGCCCACGCGGUGCCGCAGGGAAGCCGUUAAGCCGGCCGCCUGGGGAGUACGGCCGCAAGGCUGAAACUUAAAGGAAUAGGCGGGGGAGCACCACAAGGGGUGGAACCUGCGGCUCAAUUGGAGUCAACACCUGGAAGCUUACCGGGGGAGACCGCAGGAUGACGGCCAGGCUAACGACCUUGCCUGACUCGCGGAGAGGAGGUGCAUGGCCGUCGCCAGUUCGUGUUGUGAAAUGUCCGGUUAAGUCCGGCAACGAGCGAGACCC